rnacentral:lncRNA from 1 species
GGGGACCUACUUGAUUCGGUCGGAGCCCCACUCUUCUUCUGCUUCUUCUGACCUUUGCUCUCGAUUUGGAGCCAGUCAGAGACUCCUUCGUCCGCGUGCAUGUACUUGUACGUGCGCUCCAAGAAUUUAGCACACGUCUGAGGGAGAGUCUUGUCCAGUGAAUACGUGAAUCAAGAUCUCUUCAGAUCUCUUUUCAUGGCCGAUAUGGCCAUAUCUUCAUUGAGGUCCUUGACCUCGAGCGUAGCC